rnacentral:rRNA from 1 species
AAUGAACGCUGGCGGCAGGCCUAACACAUGCAAGUCGAACGGAAAGGGAGGGAUGAGUGGCGGACGGGUGAGUAACGCGUGGGAAACUACCCAAAGGUACGGAAUAGCCUCGGGAAACUGGGAGUAAUACCGUAUGUGCUAGAAAGAGGAAAGAUUUAUCGCCUUUGGAGUGGCCCGCGUUGGAUGAGGUGGGUGGUGGGGUAGUGGCCUACCAAGCCGACGUUCCAUUGCUGGCUUGAGAGGAUGGUCAGCCACACUGGGACUGAGACACGGCCCAGACUCCUACGGGAGGCAGCAGUGGGGAAUCUUAGACAAUGGGGGAAACCUUGAUCUAGCCAUGCCGCGUGAUCGAUGAAGGCCUUAGGGUUGUAAAGAUCUUUCAGGUGGGAAGAUAAUGACUGUACCGCCAGAAGAAGCCCCGGCUAACUCCGUGCCAGCCGCCGCGGUAA